AUACAGACACUAAAUAGCCUGAGCACCUUUGAAAAAAUGGUAGUCGCAUAAUGGCGGAUUCAAAUAGUUCUCAGUUUUUUUUGCUGUAAGAAGGAUUUUUCCUUGAAAUCAUUGCUAUAUAUUGGUUGAAAUCAUAUUGCAUGCCUAUACUUGAUAUACUGGUAGCAUUUGCAUGUUGAAAAAAGACUCCAAACUGAUUUAACAUGUGAAAUUUAUUCAUACACCCCUACCCUAAAUUGUGAUUGUCAUUUCAGUGUAAAAAUUACGGUGUGUCCGUUUGACCAGAAAUAUUUUUCUUGCAUCAAACAUGACCCCUACUUUUCUUUGGAUAUUUUUACAGUAUAAAUGUUAUUCUACAAGAAAAUAGUUAAACAUUUCCUGUAGCAGCUUAGGACAGUACAGUUUGUGAGUUAACAGAUCAGGGUGAGCCUCAGUGUUUCCUGGUGUACUGUACUCAUCCGCCAACUUAGGACAGCUGUUUAGUGAUCGCAGAGGUGCAACACCCGUUUCAGAGCCAUUUACAUCAUUUAGUGAGGAUUCCUGUGUCUGACAGUACUGAACCUGAGGAAUUUCACACAUUUUUGAGCAGAGACCAGGUGUGCAGUAUCAACACCUUUUUAGUUACAUUUUGACAUGAAUUGUUGGAGAGAACUUGAAUACCAUGGCCAUGAGAUAUGACUUUAGCUAUAGAAUGCAAAAAUAUGCAGUAUUGUUGCAUUUGUGAUGAAAAGAAAGACAAUUUUCCCAUUUUUUACUGAAAAAUAAGCUUUUUUUUAACCAAAAAAAAAUUCACUAAACACUAAUUUUGUUCUAUAUUUUAUCACAGUUGCAUAAUUAUAAGUUUUUUUUUCAGUGUAGUUGUCUAUUCCGCACUUGCUGGUGGUAUAUUUGAUGUAAUAUUUUACGGGUUUUUUGAAAAAACAGCGUUUAAUGACUAUAUGUGAUUCAGCCAAAUUUAACGGCUUAAACCGCAGUCUUUGGACAAAAUGAUGGCUGUACAAAAAUAGUGAUUUUGAGAAAACUACUGGUUUGUUUGGGCUGAAACUUGUUUUAUAAGCUGAAUAUAGAUGAAACUUCACAUAGAGAGCAAAAAAGCUGAAAAAAAAAAAUUCAUAUUUCCUUAUAGGCAUACAGACACUAAAUAGCCUGAGCACCUUUGAAAAAAUGGUAGUCGCAUAAUGGCGGAUUCAAAUAGUUCUCAGUUUUUUUUGCUGUAAGAAGGAUUUUUCCUUGAAAUCAUUGCUAUAUAUUGGUUGAAAUCAUAUUGCAUGCCUAUACUUGAUAUACUGGUAGCAUUUGCAUGUUGAAAAAAGACUCCAAACUGA